rnacentral:rRNA from 1 species
AGAUUGAACGCUGGCGGCAGGCCUAACACAUGCAAGUCGAACGGCAGCGCGGACUUCGGUCUGGCGGCGAGUGGCGAACGGGUGAGUAAUAUAUCGGAACGUGCCCAGUAGCGGGGGAUAACUACGCGAAAGCGUGGCUAAUACCGCAUACGCCCUACGGGGGAAAGGGGGGAUCGCAAGACCUCUCACUAUUGGAGCGGCCGAUAUCAGAUUAGCUAGUUGGUGAGUAAAGGCUCACCAAGGCGACGAUCUGUAGCUGGUUUGAGAGGACGACCAGCCACACUGGGACUGAGACACGGCCCAGACCUCCGUACGGGAGCAGCAGUGGGGAAUUUGGACAAGUGGGCGACAAGCCUGACUCCAGCCAUACCGCGU